UCCGUAGGGUGCAAGCGUUAAUCGGAAUUACUGGGCGUAAAGCGUGCGCAGGCGGUUAUUUACGACAGGUGUGAAAUCCCCGGGCUUAACCUGGGAACUGCAUUUGUGACUGCAUAGCUAGAGUACGGUAGAGGGGGAUGGAAUUCCGCGUGUAGCAGUGAAAUGCGUAGAUAUGCGGAGGAACACCGAUGGCGAAGGCAAUCCCCUGGACCUGUACUGACGCUCAUGCACGAAAGCGUGGGGAGCAAACAGG
rnacentral:rRNA from 1 species